AAGAUUUGAGGGCUGCAAGGAGGUGAAAAUUGAAGAUGGGUGUGUUUCAAAAGUGCUUGAGCUUGAAUAAGGAAAGUGCAACCCUUGAUUUUGGGGAAGAGAAAAAGUUGGACCCAUAAAGACACAAUUGUUCCCAGUGUUGAAAUUUUUGCUGGAAAAGUUGCUGCAGCUCAUAGAAUUCUGUUGAAAAGCUAAAGAGAGUGGGCUAAUCAUUGCUUGACACUUAAUUUCAGAUACGCUUUUCUGAUCACCAAGUGUGAGAGGAUGAUUAUGCUUUUGCUGCUGAGCUUGAAUUACCAUUUGGGGAUGAACCCUGUUAAUGAUAUUGCCAUUAUUGGUACUUGUACUAGUGGCGCUUGUAGUGGCGGCUGCGGAGGCGGCUUUGGAAGUGUUUUUUGACGUUUUCAGCCGCUUGUUUUUGCGGCCACCGCCUACAGGAACAUUGCGGAGAGUGCCACCUUUAGUCCAGUGCCUCUUGCAAG
rnacentral:misc_RNA from 1 species